GAAAGGUUUUCUCAUAUUUUAUAUAGAGAUUUUGUACAGAUUUGUUGGGUGAAAAGGAUAUCAGUCUAAUUCCUUGCACUAGGAUUGUAUUUUCUAUUCUGUAUUAAGAGCAAGCCGUAAAAUCCACAGUACACUGAAGUGCUCUUGUCUGAAGAGUGAACAGGUGUUAAUGCCUGGAAUCAGCCUGUGGGAUUUUGUUCAGCAGGAGGGAUCACCGCAGCUGCGUGGAUCAGCUACGCCUCCCACGAGUGAUGUCGGCACCUGAUGGGAGGAGAUGUGUCUGGAAGAACUGCACACCUCCACAACCUCCUCUGAAAAACCACUCUGGCUGUGUGCCCCGGGGUCAUCGUGCUGUGACAGGGACAGGGCCACUGUCUGUGCUUAGGCUGAUGACCAGACUGAGCAGGAAUCCACAGUUGGGCAGGACAUUGCUGGCAUAAACCUAAAUUUGGUUCUUGACUUGGUGCAGGAUUGGAAGAGGGAGGAGUGCUGCCUGGAAGAGGGAAAUAGGUGCUGUACUGAGUGCUUUGCUUGAAGGAGGAAGCACUUGUGACUCUGAAGUUCACAGAACUGCACUGACUAACUGGUAACAAGCUUCCCUGGCUGAGUAUCUGUCCUGUGGGCAGUCCUAGGGAACAUGUUGGUGUUGUGCCCUUGAGGGGACCAGCACAGGAGCUACUGUGCUUCACUUACUCUGUUUGUAGUACAGUUACUGAGUCUGAAGGACAAACACAGGUGACUGGGAAGAAGGCAGGUCUGGAAAAUUCCUCUUUUGUGCUUUGUUGCUGCUUGAUCCCAGUGGUUUGAUGUGCAAAUUCUCCUGUCCAUGACAAUACAAACUGGCAGACUCAUAUAAAAUGCAGUAAUAGUUGGGACACUCAGAGUGGGUGUACAAGAGCCUGGUGGAUUGUGUCCUAUAUACAAGUAGCAGUUAUGGAGUGAUUGUGCAUGUUGGUUUCUUCCUUUACUGAGAAUUUAUCUGAAUGCCAGGGCAGGAACUGCUUGCUUUGGUAGCAAAGAGAUACUCCAGACUGGGGAGGGGAUUUCACAUGCUUCUGACCCAAAAGCUGCAGCUGAUUUUACAGGUGUGUGUAUCUCUGGUUUGGAUGUUUGUUAUUGUAUUAUAUAUAAAAACUGGCUCAUGCAGAAACUUCAUGAAGGCUGGUGUGGUUGUGGGAUGCGCUGGAUGAGGAGCUGAUUCAGCCUAAAACGGUUUUGGUUUUAUUUACGCAGUUUUUUUCCUCUGUACUUUCUGCUUUGUUGAUUUGUUAAUUUCUAAGCUCAUGGAGACCACGAUAUUGAUGUUAUAUUUCCCAGAUAUUUCCCUGUGCAGAACUGCCCUUUGAGAUACUCAUACUUGUCAAAAGCCUUGCUCCUGAAAGGGAAACCCCAUGUGAGCUUUUAUGGAAAAGUCUUCGGUGAGGUGUCACAUGAAGGGAAAAAAGGGACCUGAUGGGAAACAUGGAAACACCUCAGGAAGAGAAGUGUCUUUUUAGCUGACAGCAGCUGCUUUGAAGCACACUAGAGUCUUGCUGCAUGUUUUCAGCUCCUUUCUGGAUGGCAUGUUACAGCUCGGAUUGG